ACUGUCUUUAACUAAGGAAGACACCAGAGUACCCCGAGUCCGCGCAUUCCUGCACCCCGUUCCCGGGCUCCGGACGCCGCCGGGCGCCCUCUGCUAGAUAACUGGGAGCCGGGGCAGGGAUUGUUACGGAGCAACCUUGCACCGCGAACAGCUGGAGGGCUGAAGGCGAGAGAUGCUGGACUGCUGCCUGCGGCCUACUGACCCCCAUUUUAUGCAAAAAUGCCAGCCCAAUCCAGAGACUGAAUCCUCAGACCCCGCUCCGAUGCAAAGAAGGGAGAAACGCGGUACUUCCGAGACGGAGCUGAAACGUCCGCCUCCCCGGUGCCUCACGCGCUGCAGAAGGAGUGGGUCUCCCGCGGUCUCGGCCCCUUUCUCCCCCGGGGCGCGCCCCGAGAAUGCAGGGCCCGCGCCCGGCGACCUGUGAGCCAGUCUGCAAGGAUGGAGGAUACAAAUUAAUGGUUUGGAAAUUGGAAUGUGGUCUCACGAAGGUGCCUCCUGACUCCAAGACUGAAGACUGUGCUGAUUCAACCUGAAACAGGCAUGUCAUUGGGAAGAGGCAGUUGAAGUUAAACCAAGAGAGUUCGUCUAGGAGGCCUGUCCAACAAGGAACCGUGAAUCACAGAGAGCGGAGCUGAAGCACCCAGUGUGACGACUAGAAAAUUUUAAAUUCUAGGGGAAGGGGUCCAGAUGGCGGAGGCGCAGCGCCAGAGAUGAGCUCAGGUCGCAGGCGUCCAGCGAGAAGUCCUCAAACCAUCCGAACCCCUGCGGACCCCGCAGGAGAUGGAGGAGGAGCGCGGCAGUUCUAGAGCAGGAACGCGACCGCUCUCGGGAAGGCCGGAUGCGGGGAGGCGAGAACCCGAAGCCACCGGAGACGGAGGCUGGGGGCAGGGGCCGGCCCCGCCAGCAGCGGAGCCGCCGAGCGCGCAAUGGGAACUUGUCGAGUCGGCUCCACGGAGGACGUCGCUCCAGAGGCUCAGUGGGGGCGGCCCUCGCGGGGACAGUGCGGUCGCAGGUCCCGCGGUCGCAGCAGGAUCGGGUGCCUGAGUGUCGCCGAGCUCGCAGGUACUAGAGCGGGAAGCCGGCUACAGAGGCGGAGCUGAGGCGUGAGCUCUCAGCUUGGGGUUACCUUCAACGGAGGUCCACGGCACAGUGAGGCCACUGCUCCCGGAGCACGGACCCCACAAGUGGCAGGUCUGGGGACAGCCCCUGGAAGAGCGGCAGGGAUCGGCUGGGUUUGGAGACUCCAAACGGGGCGUGUGUCCCCGAUGGAAACGCUCCUCACAGGCGGCGCGAGCGCAGCGGGAGACCAGGGGACAGGAGGGAUUCCGCGCUCUCACGCGGGGGCGCACUGAGGGACAAAUGCUCCCCACCACAGCGGCUUACUUCGCCCGGCCCCUGGCAAGGGCGGUGCAGUUCUGCCUCCGACAGGACACGUGAGAAUCACGACAACAGGCCCCGCCCCCAGAAGGUCAGCAAGAACGUCCAACCGAGACGAGCUCACCGAUCAAGGACUACAGCAGAAUUCCAGAGGAGAAAGCAAAGCACGGAAUUCAUGGCUUUCUCCCCAUGAUUCUUUUAGUCUUGCAAAGUUAAUUAAUUUUUUUAUUUUCUUUUUUGUCUUAUUCUAAUUUUUUUAACUUUUGCUUUCUUCCUUUAACGUUUUUUAAUUAGUUUAUCUUAACAAUACCUUUCAUUAAAAAAUCUUUUUCAACCUUCA